CGUCGUGGCCGGAAGCGUCUCGCGGCUGUCACGCGUUUACACGCAAACUCUGAUCCUCGCGUUCUCUAACUUAUCUGACGACCAAUACGGUCGCGUUGUACUUUGCAAGUUCCGAAACUUUGUGCGGGGUAAAAUUUCGAAAGAAAGUCCGCGAGCCGGCGAAUCGUGAUAUUUUCGCUGACGUUUCUUUUCCGCGAAACUUGCGCGAUUAACUCGCGCCGGGGCGAGAUACUCGGCGCGAUACUCCGGAAAGUUACUACACGGGGGACGUAAAGAGAUUACCCCAUUAAAGUUCAGACGAAAGCCGUAACUUUUUAUUUCAGAGAAAGACAAAAAAAAAGAAGGAGACAAUUAAGCUAUAGCCUCGCAUUUUCUUCGUGUCAAUCGGGUGCUUUUGAUCAAAGAUAAAAGUUCGACUGUUCGAUGAAUAGCGGGAAUAUCUAGUUGCGCUAAGGGGCACUUUAAGUUACUUCGUUAAGUUACGCUAAGGGGAUCCCGGAUCGUGGAAGCUCGUCCGUGAGGGAUAGCAAGGUAGCUUUCGGCAAGCUGACAUUAUCGAGAACAAACAAGUAGAUCGAGGAUUCGCGGCGGGGUGGGUAUUAUGUCCCAAGGCUAGAGAAAAGAGACCGAAGCAGCGGGAGCGGCAGCAGUAGUAGCAGCUGCAGCAGAAGUAGGAGGUGGAGGAAGCGGAAGAGGAGGAAGCGGAGAAAAGUGGAAAGACGUUAGAGAGAGCAUCGAGAGCGAAGGACGAGAAGGCGGAGAAAGCUCGGAAGCUCGAGCCUCGGGGUUAUUACGGAAGGCAAGUUAGACAGGCAAGAUAGGAUUUCGAUCAGGGCACUUUCGGGCCGCAGUGGUUGAGAGCCGAUUAAUGCGAUCGGCUCUAAUUAGCUAUCAACUGUUUCGCUCAGAUUGUUCUUCGCAUUUCCGUCCGACGAUCCUGCGCGAACCUUUCACUUCAGCCAACUGAGACGUCGACGUUCUUGAAAGAAGAAGAGCGAAUCGACCACAUUUUGAUGCCGAUUCCAAGUAUCUUCGGAGUCAUUCAGCAAUGAUGACGGGCGUAGCAAUCGUGAGGAACGUCUCCGCGUUUGUUAUUGACUGAUUGAUCAGACUGACCGAUCCGACGAGCGAUCGAUCCACGCAUUAAUCGGACGAUGCUCGAGAAAAGCACGUAAGGAUUACGGGUGCCAGUUCCUCUACGCUUUUCUUUCGCCGAGGGAAACCUGCCGGAGAAAGAGCUAAGAUGUGCGCGAGAUCGUUGCUACUGUGCGUCCUCGGCAUCAUCGUUGUCGUCAACGAAUCCGAGGCCAGCUGGGAGGAAUGGUGGACCUACGACGGCAUUUCCGGACCUUCGUUUUGGGGCCUGAUAAAUCCGCAGUGGUCCCUCUGCAGCAAAGGCAGGCGGCAGAGUCCCAUCAACAUCGAGCCGGACAAGUUGCUCUUUGAUCGUCACUUGAGACCAGUGCAUGUCGACAAACACAGGAUUUCCGGACACUUACACAACACCGGGCAGUUCCUGGUGUUUAAAGCGGACAGGGAGGCGAAGAUACGAGUCAAUAUAACUGGUGGCCCGCUCGCAUAUCACUAUCAGUUCGAAGAAAUAUAUAUUCACUAUGGAAUGGACGAUGCUCACGGUUCCGAGCAUCACAUCAAUAACUACGCUUUCCCUGCCGAGAUACAAAUCUACGGCUUCAACGCCGAACUGUAUCACAAUAUGAGCGAGGCGCAGCAUAAAAGUCAAGGCCUGGUGGCGAUCUCGUUAAUGGUGCAGCUCGGCGAGACGUUAAAUCCCGAGCUGCAAAUCAUCACCAGUGUGUUCAACAAGGUCAUACAUCGAGGAGACACCGCGCCUGUGCGCUACCUAUCCUUAAAAAGCCUUCUUCCGGACACUUCCGGUUACAUGACUUACGAGGGCAGCACAACGCACCCCGGUUGUUGGGAAACGGCGGUGUGGCUAAUUCUCAACAAACCAAUUUACAUCACAGCACGAGAGCUAUACGUCCUAAGGAAAUUAAUGCAGGGCCCUGCCAGCACGCCGAAAGCGCCGCUUGGUAACAAUUCUAGACCGCUGCAGGGUCUUCAUUACAGAACUGUACGAACAAAUAUCGAUUUUGCCAAGCGAGGAAACGCCAAGUGUCCGUCGAUGGCGCAGGACAUGCAUUAUAAAGAUGACUUUUUCCUUCCAGCCAACACGUGGCGGGACGACGGCUCCCUCUCUCAAAACGUACUCUGAGGCUAUCCCGCGGCAGGACCACGAGAGGAGAUUUUUUUCUAAAGGCAGGAAACGGGACGAGUUCGUGUUGCGCGAUGCGCGCGGAAGAGUGAGAGCUACUUUCUGAUGAGGAAACGAGAUUUGCCGCGGCUGUGUGAGAUACGGACGUGAUUUUUCAACGGCCGUAAACCGACGCGAAAUGAACCAUAGCGAUGCCUGUGUCUUAAAGCGGACAGACAAGAGUCGGAGUCAAAGCUGCUGCGUGUGUCGCUGCCUCGCUAAUGUCAUUCCCGUCGACGCGAGUGAUCAAAGGAGCACCGAUGUCCCGGCGGGAUUACGAGUUUUCAUUUAACGCUGUAAGUUCACGCACCGGAGACUAACAGUUAUCAGAGGUGGGCCGGUAAAACAAUACGUGUUGUCGUAAGCUAUAAUUUUGUAAAACGGACAAUAGCGCGCUUUCAGCCGACGAAUGAUUCCUAAUAACGAGAAGAUAUAGGCGUUGUUUCCUAUAUAAGGUAAGAGAAACUUUUUUAAACGUACUGCCCAUCGCUGAUAAUCGCGCACAAUCGUUCCGUUUACGCUGCGAGGGUUCGCGCGCGCGGUCGCGAGCAGACGCGAUAAAAACGAUCGAUCUCGCUGAUGAGCCUGUAAAUCGGUCGAGUUGUUUGACAGGUUUUUGUCAAUUAUUUCGUAGCCAAUGGCGAUGCGACGUGUAAAACGAUGUAAAACGAAAUCCGUUACGAGAUGAAGGAAGGGAAAAUGGGAUGGG
rnacentral:misc_RNA from 1 species